rnacentral:rRNA from 1 species
AACGAACGCUGGCGGCAGGCUUAACACAUGCAAGUCGAGCGCCCCGCAAGGGGAGCGGCAGACGGAUGAGUAACGCGUGGGAAUCUACCCAUCUCUACGGAAUAACGCAUGGAAACGUGUGCUAAUACCGUAUACGUCCUUCGGGAGAAAGAUUUAUCGGAGAUGGAUGAGCCCGCGUUGGAUUAGCUAGUUGGUGGGGUAAAGGCCUACCAAGGCGACGAUCCAUAGCUGGUCUGAGAGGAUGAUCAGCCACACUGGGACUGAGACACGGCCCAGACUCCUACGGGAGGCAGCAGUGGGGAAUAUUGGACAAUGGGCGCAAGCCUGAUCCAGCCAUGCCGCGUGAGUGAUGAAGGCUCUAGGGUUGUAAAGCUCUUUCACCGGUGAAGAUAAUGACGGUAACCGGAGAAGAAGCCCCGGCUAACUUCGUGCCAGCCGCCGCGGUAAGAC